rnacentral:misc_RNA from 1 species
UGCGGCUGGAUCCCCUCCUUAACGGAGCAUUGCGAGUAGGUCCUCGGACCGAAAGCAGCUCUCGUGUCGCCCGCCCGCACGACCACCACGCUCAAUCCAGUUUUCUUCUUUUAUCCCGGGGCCUUCGGGCCCUGGGAUCGCUGUUUGACAACCGAAGGACAACGUGAUUGUGGAAAUCAGCAUGUGCGCCUAACAACGCGCAUGCGGAAUUGAAUCACACCGUAGUGAUAAUUCGCUAAAACGAAUUCAUUACUCGUGUAGAUCGCGCGUAUUUGGCUUGACCGAAUUCGAGUCAAGCGAACGAAGGCAUGUGGGGAAUGCCUGGGCACACGGAGGCGAUGAAGGCCGUGGUAAGCUGCGAUAAGCUCGGGGGAGUGGCACACACACCGUGAUCCCGAGAUGGCCGAAUGGGGAAACCCGG